CUAUUUCUGGGUGUUAAAGCCCCACAAUGCUUUGGUGAGGAGACCAUAAAUAACAGUGAGAUGGUCUAGGUAGAAUUUAAACCCUUUGAACAUAGUCCUCUCUUUUUCUCCAAUGUCCCUCUCCAAGGUCGAGCUUGACAACAUUUAUAUAUGGGCAAAUCUACUGUGUAACAGGGGUGUUUCUUGCUCUCCUUUCUUGAGCUUGAUGAAGGCAGACCAUGGGGGAAACUCCCUCUGUGUCUGAUGUAGCACUUGUCACAUCCAAUCGAGUGAAUUUGCAAGUAGGUAUGUGUUAGAUUCAUCGUGUGGUUAUGGAAACACCACUUUUGGACAAGGCGAGGUUACAAACUCUACCACAGGUACCAUAAGUGUUUGUGAUCACAUACGUAAUGUCUGCCCUUCAUCUCUUGCUAAACAUAUAGAUGUAACUUUACUUCAGAAGGUAAAGAUUGCUUUAGCUCACCGGUCAGUUGCUUUAUCUGAUAUCCAGACAUUCCUGUGCAUCUCCCUCUGCCUCAAAUGAAGGCUUUCUCCCCCUUGCUUAACACAACUGAGUUUUGAGGGACAUGAAGUAUGAUCUCCUCCAUAUCCUCCAGCUCUUCACUUCAUCAAACUGGUAGGAGCCUGGGAAAUACGUGAAGAGGAUCUGGGGUUGAGACACAGCCUGGAAAGCACCAAGUGACAUAGUAAGCACCUCUUGCAUCAUAAUGCAUCCUGAAAGCACAGAAGUUUUUUGUUAAGCAGAUGUAGCUCCUCUCUCUGUUUCUCCUGUGCUUUUCCCUGGUGCUGCAAUGACCAUUGAUAGGAAGAGUUCGGUUCCAGAAGAGAGAGAGAUGUGGGUCUUCGUGCUCUGGGCACACAUCUUUUAAGAAGGCACCCCUGAGGUCACAGGGGGAGGAGGUGGGGAAGAAGAUCCUCCAUGUCUGCAUCUGUGAGGCAAACACAUCCCAUCAGGCAGAAGACAGAAAACAUAAAAAGAGAAGCAUGUUCCCCAUUUCUCUUUCCACACAGGAGUUAAGGGCAAGUUUUGAAGCACGGUGGCAAACAACCUCUUCUCUUCUGAAGUCUCACUAUCAUGCCUGGGUGAUGUGGCUGAAAGUACUUGCUUAAGAAAACACAAACUACUGGAAUCGGUUCAAAAGUCAACAGAGAAAGUCCUUCCUCCGCUGUCAGCUAGAGGUUAAGC
ensembl:lncRNA